rnacentral:rRNA from 1 species
AUUGAACGCUGGCGGCAGGCCUAACACAUGCAAGUCGAGCGGAUGAGUGGAGCUUGCUCCAUGAUUCAGCGGCGGACGGGUGAGUAAUGCCUAGGAAUCUGCCUGGUAGUGGGGGACAACGUUUCGAAAGGAACGCUAGUACCGCAUACGUCCUACGGGAGAAAGUGGGGGAUCUUCGGACCUCACGCUAUCAGAUGAGCCUAGGUCGGAUUAGCUAGUUGGUGAGGUAAAGGCUCACCAAGGCGACGAUCCGUAACUGGUCUGAGAGGAUGAUCAGUCACACUGGAACUGAGACACGGUCCAGACUCCUACGGGAGGCAGCAGUGGGGAUAUUGGACAAUGGGCGAAAGCCUGAUCCAGCCAUGCCGCGUGUGUGAAGAAGGUCUUCGGAUUGUAAAGCACUUUAAGUUGGGAGGAAGGGCAGUAAGUUAAUACCUUGCUGUUUUGACGUUACCAACAGAAUAAGCACCGGCUAACUUCGUGCCAGCCGCCGGCGUAACAC